GCAUCGGUGGUUCAGUGGCGGAAUGCUUGCCUGACGCGCGAGCGGCUUGGGUUCGAUUCCCGGCCGAUGCA